CCUACGGGUGGCAGCAGUGGGGAAUAUUGGACAAUGGGCGAAAGCCUGAUCCAGCCAUGCCGUGUGUGUGAAGAAGGCCUUCGGGUUGUAAAGCACUUUCAGUGGGGAAGAAAGCCUUGGGGCUAAUACCCUCGAGGAAGGACAUCACCCACAGAAGAAGCACCGGCUAACUCCGUGCCAGCAGCCGCGGUAAUACGGAGGGUGCGAGCGUUAAUCGGAAUUACUGGGCGUAAAGCGCGCGUAGGCGGUCUGAUAAGCCGGUUGUGAAAGCCCCGGGCUCAACCUGGGAACGGCAUCCGGAACUGUCAGGCUAGAGUGCAGGAGAGGAAGGGAGAAUUCCCGGUGUAGCGGUGAAAUGCGUAGAGAUCGGGAGGAAUACCAGUGGCGAAGGCGGCCUUCUGGACUGACACUGACGCUGAGGUGCGAAAGCGUGGGUAGCAAACAGGAUUAGAUACCCGGGUAGUC
rnacentral:rRNA from 1 species